AACGGUCAGACCACUGUGGUUUAAACCCCAGGACGUUCUCAGCAGUGAACCGUCUCCAGGCCUUUAAAGGUAUGCCUGACCACCUUCGUUGUUCAGCUUCAGAAUAAUGCUGGCCCUGGUCUUCGACCAAGAAGUACUAUGAGAAUUCAGAUUCUUUAUUUUUAAGAAUUAAGAACAGAUGAAGGAACUUUCUAUAUGUUCAAAGUCGUUGUUAAAUGCAUGAACUCUUCACAAAUCAAGUCUUUUGCAAAACUUUGAAAAAUUCUACGUACAUAACAUCAUCCAAUAUGUGAAUCGUUUCAGAAAAGAGACACUUACUAAUUGUAAAUGGUGACCACUUCCCUUGUGAAGCACAUGAGUUUAAGAUAUCAUCUGCAGAUGCCCUAUUAGUACAGUGCAAAGUUUUUUCCUUCAGUUUACUUCACUUUCCUGACUUCCCUUUUUCUGCAGCAUAAAAUGUAUGUUCUCCACAGACUAGCAGAAUGCAGAACAACCUUUCGGUUAGUCUGUGUGAAGUUUCUAUGAGGGAGUGACUUUGUUAGGUGUCGUGCCAAGAAGUAUUGUUGGCUGAAUGAAUGAAUGAAUGAAUGUGACAUUUUGCGUAUGUGACAGCUGAGUGAUGUGAGGGGAUUUAAUACUGUGACUGAGUGAAUGUGACACUGGGGUCGGCGGGGCACAUGCUGGUUGCCAUGGCGUUGCGAUGAAUGCCAGGCCAUGUGUUUUUAAGUUCGGGUUUUUGGCAGAAUCACAAGGGGGACUGGGAGAGCCUGGGGAGUGGGCUCCUCUGAGCUUAUCUGUCCGGACAACACCUGGAUUCUGUUCCCAGCAUGCACUUACCUGUCCCUUACGUCUUGCGUCCUGCUAAUUACCCAAAUACCUGAGAGAGAAACAGAAGGUCCUUUCAUUCAACAGCAUACCUGUGUGCUGCAUGUGUGUGUGUGAGAGAGAGAAAGAGAGUGGAAGAGAGAGAGAGAGAGAAUUUUAGUUUUUUUCUCGAUGUAAUCAAAAUUGCCAUGCCAGUGAAAAUUGCCAUGCCGGUCUUAAGUGAAGAUGCAGCUCAUCAAACAAAGAAAGUUAUAACUUGAAUGAAAAAAAAAACCAGUGAAUCUGCUCUGUUCUUCUCAUUUUUUAGUUUUUCACUUCAAAGAUGUAAUAGUUUUAAUCAAAUCCAGGACUUGGUUUAUCUACUUCCAUAGCUUGAAUCAUAUUUUAUACUUUUUUUUUCCUGUCAAAAUGAGACAAAUUUAAGUGAUCUCUCUUCUUUCAAAUCAAAAACCACCACAUUAACCUCUCAGUCCUCUCUGGGCCGACGUGUCUGUCCUGUGCAGUCAGAAAAACAGAAAGAAAAAGGGAAGAGUGGAAAAGAGAAAGGGAAUCGGACUGGGAUGGGGGGGGGGGGGAUGGUAAAAGAGGCAGGAGGUGUGAUUCAUUUAAUUGAAUUUUCUUGCUUUUAGUGCAGUUUCCCAGAACUCUCAGAUUUCUUAGCAUAAAUACGCAGCAGAAAUAUGCUGUGGUUUUGGACGCAGGGCAGAGGGACGGGGGGUGGCGGCUACGGAUGAAUGAAUAUCUCCCGUGGACCCCACCUCAACUAACCACUUCAAGGAAAAACUAGAACACUGUGACUGCAACAAGACUGCUCUCGUGAAGAGGCAACAGCCAUCGCCAGCCAAGAUGUCCAAAACCGUCAACACUGCACUUAUUCAGCUUUGGAUAGGCUGGACAUUUUUGAUAAAAAGGGAAUCAAAUUAAUUUCUGAAGAGUGGAAUAUGAACGGUCAGGUUAUAGCCUUCAGAGACUAUCCGAAUGCCUCGGAAUCAGACAACAACACGGUGGUGGGCUUAUCUAGAGGGAUAAUUACCCUGGUUUAUGGCAUGAGCCUCAACUACUCUGUCCUUUAUGAAGACACGAAUACAAAAUCAGCGGAGAAGAGUAUGGUGUUUUCUGGUGAAAGUAAGUAGAAUCAUGUUACUGGGUGAAGAUGAUUUGUGUUGGGAGGGGUGGGGGGUGGGCGGUGCUAACAUAUAUCACAGAAACGAACAUUGCCAAGCUGAACCAACUUUUCUAGAGCGUGGAGAGGUCCUUGACCACUGGAUAAUUCUCGUUUCUGUGCUCAUCCCCCUUGCCGGUAUUGCUGCUGCCAUUGGAGUAGGAGUCUACUGCUGGUGCAGGAGGAGGAAGAGGAACCGCAGCUCAAGGAGAUAUACAGCUGUUGAACGGGCUGUGGACCAGAACCCUCAGGAGGACCAUGAUCAGGAGCAGAACCCUCAGGAGGACCAGGAUCAGGAGCAGAACCCUCAGGAGGACCAACACAUGGUCUAGGUGGCCCAAUCACCUGUGCCGCCUGGGUGGGAGAAGGUUCAGGCGAGGAGGAGGCGUGGAGCCUUUGUCAAAAAAUGUAACUUUCAAAAUUUUAAAUAAAUAUUUAAUAAAUAAAUACAAUAAUUAUAUAAUUAUUGUAUUUAUUUAUUAAAUAUAUAUAUAUAUAUAUAUAUAUAUAUAAUAUAUAAUAUAUAUAAUAUAUAUAUAGUUUUAUAAAAAAAUACCCUGUGUUUCAAUACAGAAUGAAUGCAGUGGGAAUGUGACUUCUGAUAUGAUCAUAUUUAGAUUUUUUAAAAAUAUAUUUAUAAAUGUACAAAUAAUAUAUUCAUAAAUAUAAAUUUUAAAUAAAUAUUUUAUAAAUAAAUACAAUAAUUAUAUAAUUAUUGUAUUUAUUAAUUAAAUAUAUAUAUAUAUAUAUAUAUAUAUAUAUAUAUAUAUAUAUUGUUUUAUAAAAAAUACCCUGUGUUUCAGUACAGAAUGAAUGCAGUGGGAAUGUGACUUCUGAUAUGAUCAUUUCAUUGCAGAACUCACUACUAAACCAGGAACACAUUCUCAUAAGCUCUGCAUUCACAGUACCCACGCACCUGCAUGCUAGCAAGUAGAAAAUCACUCCUGUCCAUCACUAUUUUCACUAGUGUCUUGCUAAUGAACACGUGGUUUCUUGCAACAUAGUGCUUUAAAAAAUAAGUUAGCAAUCUCUGUUUCUGUGCAAGAGGCAGACUUUGCUUUUAAUACCCUGCUUUUUACUUUAUUGUACCAAUUGCUUAGAUAUGAGUUAUUAGCUAGUGCGUGCAAUAAAAUGUAUUGUUUCAGAAAUCUGA